rnacentral:ribozyme from 14 species
AAAGAAUCAAUUAUAAAAAAGUAAUUGACGCGCGCAAGAAAAAAUAGGCAACAUGUACGUUUAUAGCACUUCUAUGUAUGUUUUCCUUCUCUUCUCCGUUGUCGCGCUCCAAGUCGCAGUGAAUUUCCUAAA